GGCGAACGGGUGAGUAACACGUGGGUGAUCUGCCCUGCACUUCGGGAUAAGCUUGGGAAACUGGGUCUAAUACCGGAUAGGAGCCAUCUUUAGUGUGGUGGUUGGAAAGUUUUUCGGUGUAGGAUGAGCUCGCGGCCUAUCAGCUUGUUGGUGGGAUAAUGGCCUACCAAGGCGGCGACGGGUAGCCGGCCUGAGAGGGUGUACGGCCACAUUGGGACUGAGAUACGGCCCAG
rnacentral:rRNA from 1 species